GGGUUUAAUUUAGGGUCUUGAAAUGAAGGGCUUCUCCUUUCCUUCACUCUCUGCUCCCACUCUCACCAUUCCCUUGCCAACAAGUUCUUCCUAUUCAUGAAAGUGAUUUCGUUGUUGGCUUAAUCGGGAAAAGUCGUGUUGCGCAGAAGGUGACGCUUUCGACACCAAAAUUGUGAUGGUGCAAAAGGCCCUCAAAGGCUAAACGCUUUGCCAUCAGACUUGACAAGAUUGGUUCAGAGGAGCUAGGGUUUAUAUCUCGCUGAAGCAGCAGUAACGAUUGCUAGGCAUGGUCGGUCUCCUCCCCUCAGUUAAAGAGAGCUUCACCAUCCCCAAGCUGCCACAGAAUCGUUUAUAAGCUUUUUUCCAAAAGUGAAGGCAAUGGCAUGCACAAGACAACUGUGGAGUGGGCUCGUUAAUAAUGCAUGAUCCAUUUCUUCAUAAUGAUUCAUUGGUUACCUUCAUCUAGGUGUAGCCACGGCCAAGGCAGGGAUGCCUUUUUAUUUGGAAAAUGCAUCUAAUAAAAGUUAAGCGCAUACACUAAUUUAUAAAACUUUUUCCUUCGAUUUGUGUUACAUGUUUUAUAUCUAUUUCAACCCAUUUUCAUUAGCUUUGCCAUUUUUGAAGGGGAAGUCACACAUAAUUCUGAACUUUUUUUGUUAUAUAGGUUGAGGAGAUGAUUCAUACAUUCAAACAGAGAAUAGCCCAAGCAAAAGCUAUGGCUCGUGGUGACGUGCUUAGUUCCAGCCUGAGGUAUCUAUGGAUUCUUCAAAAUUCUAAAACUGGUAAAAAGGGCGAAACACGGUGAAUUUUGAGCAAGGUGUUGGCAUUUGGAGAAAGUAUUGUUACUUGAAGAAGUUAAGCCGCAAAUUUCUAGAACUCAUGUUACAUUGGUUGAGAAUAUCUUAUUAGCCCCAAAGGAAGGCACCGAAUGUUGGUAGCGGUGUGCCAUCUCCAUACUAUAUACUAAGUUCAAGUGGUGGAAGCAAAACAACUUAGAAUUAGCCGUGCAAGUUUUAUAAUUGUCUUAUGAAAUUUUA